rnacentral:rRNA from 1 species
UACGGAGGGUGCAAGCGUUGUCCGGAUUUAUUGGGUUUAAAGGGUGCGUAGGCGGCCCUGUAAGUCAGUGGUGAAAGCCUCCAGCUCAACUGGAGAACUGCCAUUGAUACUGCAGGGCUUGAGUACAGACGAGGUUGGCGGAAUUGAUGGUGUAGCGGUGAAAUGCAUAGAUAUCGGGAGGAACACCAGUGGCGAAGGCGGCUGCCUGGGCCAGUUCUGACGCUGAGGCGCGAAAGCGUGGGG